GCCACGGUAGUCUAGCGGUUAGAACGCUGGUCUUGUAAUCCUGGGGUCUCGGGUUCGAUUCCCGGCGGUGCCC
rnacentral:tRNA from 1 species